UACGUAGGGGGCAAGCGUUGUCCGGAAUCAUUGGGCGUAAAGAGCGCGUAGGCGGUCCGAUAAGUCGGCUGUGAAAGUCAGGGGCUCAACCCUUGAAAGCCGGCCGAUACUGUCGGACUAGAGUCCGGAAGAGGCGAGUGGAAUUCCCGGUGUAGCGGUGAAAUGCGCAGAUAUCGGGAGGAACACCAAUGGCGAAGGCAGGUCUCUGGGCCACUACUGACGCUGAGAAGCGAAAGCAUGGGGAGCGAACAGG
rnacentral:rRNA from 1 species